rnacentral:rRNA from 1 species
ACAAGCGGUGGAGCAUGUGGUUUAAUUCGAUGAUACGCGAGGAACCUUACCUGGGCUCAAAUGUAUGUUGACGUAUUCUGAAAGGGAUACUUCUUCGGACAAUAUACAAGGUGCUGCAUGGUUGUCGUCAGCUCGUGCCGUGAGGUGUCGGGUUAAGUCCCAUAACGAGCGCAACCCUACCUUUAGUUGCCAUCAGGUAAUGCUGGGGACUCUAAAGGAACUGCCUACGCAAGUAGUGAGGAAGGCGGGGAUGACGUCAAAUCAGCACGGCCCUUACGUCCAGGGCUACACACGUGCUACAAUGGCCGAUACAGAGGGCAGCUACCUGGUGACAGGAUGCAAAUCUCCAAAGUCGGUCUCAGUUCGGAUCGGAGUCUGCAACCCGACUCCGUGAAGUUGGAUUCGCUAGUAAUCGCGCAUCAGCCAUGGCGCGGUGAAUACGUUCCCGGGCCUU